UUUGCCGCCUCCACGGCCGGGCCUCUGCCGCCUUCCGCCGCCCGCCCAUCCUCGCCCUCCUCCGCCGCCGCUCCACGGCCGGGCUUCCAUCCUACGCCGCCGCCCGCCCAUCCUCUGCCGCCUCCAGCCGGUCCUCUUCUCCGCCGCCGCGAGCGUGAGCAGCCCCCCUCCGCCCCUGGCCGUUGCCCGUGUGCGUCGGCUCUGCCUCCCCACAACGUGCGUCCGCUACACGCUUCCCACGACACGCAAGGGGAUCUCUUUCUGCAACGAAUCCCUCACCAAUUUGAGUGUCGAGGACAGGCAUAUCCUUUCCCUGAAUAUGGCCUACGUACAGAGGUGAAAGCUUUAUCAAUUAAUAGGAAGUUUGUGAUUGGAUGGAUGCUCCCAACAACCAUUUCUUCCAAGUACAUCCCCGUGGCUCCGCGACACUCUUUCAGGUUUGCCUCUUCUUACUUAUCUAGCCACUACCCAGUGGGUGUUAUUAUUGUUGUUAGUCCAUGACUGAUAGAAUCUGGAGGUUGUUAAUGCAGUUACUCAAUGGACUAAUAUGACCUUCGCACCGAACCAUUUCUUCUAAAAAUUAUUCACCUUACGUCCUUACCUUUGUUCUACCGUACUACUUUUAAUUUUUAUCAGCAUGCUCCAGUGCCUAUAAAUUAUUGCUACUGUAGCUUGUGCCAACAUGAAUGUGUGAAAUUUCUAAUGUAUACAGAUUUUGCUAAUGGUCAUAGUUCCAAAUUUCAUCUGGGUAAAUCCAUGUGCUUAACUUUUCUUUUAGGUAAUUUAAGUUUCUCUUCCCGGGGUUUAUAUUGCCUGAACGUUAAUUUUUCUAUUGCCUCAUCUUGGGUCAUACUUUGUGAUACAACCAUCUAUUUUUAUGUGUCUUGGCUUUGUUAUUAUUUAUUUUGAGUUCACUCAACAUAUCAUAAUCUUUUUUUUGCUUUAUCCGCAUUUUAGUUCAACAUGCCAUCUUGCAGACAUGGCUGCUAUAUCUGUUUGUUUCAAGCAUCAGCGGCAUCCAUGGGCUUGACAACAAUCUGAAGCGAGUAAUUGGUGGUGAGAGAUUUCUGAAUAAUGUAACCUGAAUAAGGAUGCUAUCGUGCUAUUCAUCUAUGUAUGCUGCUAUUGUAGAAACACAAUUUCUGAAUAACCAAAUUGGCACAUUUUCAGAUCAACAUUUUGUCUUCAACAUUACUGAACUUUUUAGAGUUCUGAUUCAAUUGUAUUUCAGAAUACUUGCAACCUGAAGAAUAGAGCAAUUCUUAGUGUUUGUUUGGAAGCCUUUUUUUAGAAGUAUUUAUAUAGGUUAUUUAAAUUGGGUUCAAUUAUUUUUCCUCCAAUGAAAUUUCAUGCCCCUAUAAAUAUAAUCUCUUAACUAUCUAAACAUGCAUUGCACUAUGUGUUGACAUGCUACCAUUGUCUAAUAUAUACCUAAACUUUCAUUUUACUCUACCCGAAUUUUCAUUUUUAAGUGGAUUUUUUGUGUGGUGAUAGCUGCCCUUGGUAUUGGAGAAAACAUGAGGAGGAUAAAUAGUCAAUGACAGUUGCUGAACGACUUCGUUAGAGUUUAGCGUAAGCGUUCAUGGGGGCCAGAGAAACGGGAUUUGGGACUUCUGAAUAAUACUUUUAGUGACAUGUAACAUUUUUUUAAAUAUGUUUCCUUGUAACUAGACAUACUUGUGCUUUCACUUCGAAACUCAAAUAGGCAAUUUGAGUUAGUGGUGUGCUUUAAUAAUGCAUAUUGUUGUUCUCUGGUUUCUC